GCCUCUGUGGCGGAAUUGGUAGACGCGAUCGACUCAAAAUCGAUUUCCUUACGGAGUGCCGGUUCGAGUCCGGCCAGAGGUACCA
rnacentral:tRNA from 1 species